rnacentral:rRNA from 1 species
CAGUAGCCGCGGUAAUACGAAGGGGGCUAGCGUUGCUCGGAAUUACUGGGCGUAAAGGGAGCGUAGGCGGGUCGUUUAGUCAGAGGUGAAAUCCCGGGGCUCAACCUCGGAACUGCCUUUGAUACUGGCGACCUUGAGUAUGGGAGAGGUAAGCGGAACUCCGAGUGUAGAGGUGAAAUUCGUAGAUAUUCGGAAGAACACCAGUGGCGAAGGCGGCUUACUGGCCCAUUACUGACGCUGAGGCUCGAAAGCGUGGGGAGCAAACAGGAUUAGAUACCCGCGUAGUCCCUGUCUCUUAUAC